GCUAGUGUGGCAUAGUGGUUUGAGCAUUUGACUAUGACUCUGGAGAUCAGGGUUCGAUUCCCGGCUCGAUCA